rnacentral:rRNA from 2 species
GCUAAUACCGGAUGCUUGUUUGAACCGCAUGGUUCAAACAUAAAAGGUGGCUUCGGCUACCACUUACAGAUGGACCCGCGGCGCAUUAGCUAGUUGGUGAGGUAAUGGCUCACCAAGGCAACGAUGCGUAGCCGACCUGAGAGGGUGAUCGGCCACACUGGGACUGAGACACGGCCCAGACUCCUACGGGAGGCAGCAGUAGGGAAUCUUCCGCAAUGGACGAAAGUCUGACGGAGCAACGCCGCGUGAGUGAUGAAGGUUUUCGGAUCGUAAAGCUCUGUUGUUAGGGAAGAACAAGUGCCGUUCAAAUAGGGCGGCACCUUGACGGUACCUAACCAGAAAGCCACGGCUAACUACGUGCCAGCAGCCGCGGUAAUACGUAGGUGGCAAGCGUUGUCCGGAAUUAUUGGGCGUAAAGGGCUCGCAGGCGGUUUCUUAAGUCUGAUGUGAAAGCCCCCGGC